CUCCGUGGACCGCCUCGAUGGAUUUCACUGGAUUUAAGUACCCAUUCACGUCCGCCUCUCCAGAAGCUUCCCGUCGUCCCGUUAUAAACCGACCUCCUCCUGAACCUUCUACGUUUUAACCUGCACGAGAGGGAGGAACUUGGGCGUAGAGGAAAAGCGGGAGCGAGGGCGUGCGAUCCUCUUUGUGUUCUUGGCUAUCGCCACGGUAGGCUUUCGAUCUCCCUCUUUUUCUCCUCUCCAUCUUUACAUUUCUAGGGUUUCUUAUGCCGUUAAUUAGAAGCUCAUGCGGCUGUCUCGUAACCCUUGGGAAUUAUUUGCUUUGAUUUUUAUUAUUUUUUCAACUAAUUCGAUUUGAUCUCGUACUUUCUUUUAUAUUUCAUGUCUACAUAUUUCUAUUUGUACGAGUCCAAGAUCGUUUUUUAUUAUUAUUAUUUUAAUAUAGCGACAGUUUUUCAAGGUGGCAAUUAUUUUCUUUUUGUGUUUCUUUUUUUUUUUUUGGUUGUGUUUUUUU
rnacentral:lncRNA from 1 species